rnacentral:rRNA from 1 species
UACGUAGGGUGCAGGCGUUAAUCGGAAUUACUGGGCGUAAAGCGUGCGCAGGCGGUCUUUUAAGUCAGAUGUGAAAUCCCUGGGCUCAACCCAGGAACUGCGUCCGAUACUGGUUGGCUUGAAUCCGGGAGAGGGAUGUGGAAUUCCAGGUGUAGCGGUGAAAUGCGUAGAUAUCUGGAGGAACACCGGUGGCGAAGGCGACAUCCUGGACCGGCAUUGACGCUGAGGCGCGAAAGCCAGGGGAGCAAACGGG